UAACUGCGAAUGGCUCAUUAAAACAGUUAUAGUUUAUUUGAUGGUCUCUUUUACAUGGAUAACCAUGGUAAUUCUAUGGCUAAUACAUGCGCAAUCGCCUCCUUCUCUGGAGGGGCUGUGUUUAUUAGAUACAAAACCAACCCACUUUGUGGAGUCGUGGUGAUUCAUAGUAACCGAACGGAUCGCAGUUGGCUUCGGCCCGCGAUGGAUCUUUCAAGUUUCU
rnacentral:rRNA from 1 species